rnacentral:rRNA from 1 species
GAUGAACGCUGGCGGCGUGCCUAAUACAUGCAAGUCGAGCGAACGGACGAGAAGCUUGCUUCUCUGAUGUUAGCGGCGGACGAGUGAGUAACACGUGGAUAACCUACCUAUAAGACUGGGAUAACUUCGGGAAACCGGAGCUACUACCGGAUAAUAUUUUGAACCGCAUGGUUCAAAAGUGAAAGACGGUCUUGCUGUCACUUAUAGAUGGAUCCGCGCUACAUUAGCUAGUUGGUAAGGUAACGGCUUACCAAGGCAACGAUGCAUAGCCGACCUGAGAGGGUGAUCGGCCACACUGGAACUGAGACACGGUCCAGACUCCUACGGGAGGCAGCAGUAGGGAAUCUUGCGCAAUGGGCGAAAGCCUGACGGAGCAACGCCGCGUGAGUGAUGAAGGUCUUCGGAUCGUAAAACUCUGUUAUUAGGGAAGAACAGAUGUGUAAGUAACUGUGCACAUCUUGACGGUACCUAAUCAGAAAGCCACGGCUAACUACGUG